ACUCUGGGCACCCCAAAUUUGAUG
rnacentral:siRNA from 1 species